rnacentral:rRNA from 1 species
UACAGAGACUGCAAGCGUUAUUCGGAUUCACUGGGCGUAAAGGGUGCGCAGGCGGCCGUGCGUGUGAGGCGUGAAAGCCCGGGGCUUAACCCCGGAAUUGCACCUCAAACUACAUGGCUAGAGCAUUGGAGAGGGUAGCGGAAUUCACGGUGUAGCAGUGAAAUGCGUAGAUAUCGUGAGGAACACCAGAGGCGAAGGCGGCUACCUGGACAAUUGCUGACACUCAGGCACGAAAGCGUGGGGAGCAAAAGGG